UGCUCUGGAAAACAAGAGCGCACGCGCGAGCUUGGAGGGCGGGGCCCCAACGGCUGUCCCAGCGGCGGGCCGGACCUCUUAAGGCCGCCUCAAGAGUCAGCAUGGAGUAUUCCACAGCAAGAUGCAAAGUCAUCAGAUGGAGCCAUGUGGUCAGUGUGGCCACCAGCUGACCCUGUAGUCACGUUCUGCCUCCCUUGCAUCCUCCUAAGAAUUUCUGAACCUUCUUAGUGGUGAGUCUUCUGGCCUUUUCUCCCUCAUUGUGAAUCCUCCUGCCAACAAAACAUGCUGUGAACUCUAAUAAAAGGAAAACUCAACUGUAACUGGAGUCUGGAAGGCCUGUAGAGGGAGCUAUCAUUUCCUGUCACUCAUCAUCAAAUACCCUAGCAGGAAGAGGUCAUUACUGAUCCCAAUAGGAAGACUGAUACCUUGCAAUCUCCAAACAAGAAGUGAAGCUCCAUUACUACCCCAGCUGGAGGAGGGAAGAUUUCCUUUUUGGCCAACAACAAACCCAGCUAAUAGAAAAUUUUGCCAUCAGAAGCCAUUGUCAUCUGAACUUUUACUUUUCCCCACUGGAACUUUCAUCGCUUCCUUUCCUUGUCCUGCCUUCCUUAUUUUAAGAGCAUUCCAUGAUGUGCAACCCCUUGGAGUAUCUCCUUGUCUUCCACAUGAGAUGCCGCCUGAUUCAUAAAUCAUUUACUAGAGUCAGUAUGCUACAAAUUCAGAGUAAAUCUUCAAAUUUACUUA